UAUUAUGUGUAAGCUCCUUCCGAGCUCCUCCAAGAAUUAAAGCCCUAUUGUGGUAGGCACUGUAACAUAUCUUAAGAAAUUCAAGACUGUUUUGCUACACGGAGUUAACCAUACAUCCGGGCCACCAGAUGCAGAAAAUGGGAGGGAUGCACCAGGGCAGAGGGCAGCAGGCAAUCUGAUAAACAGCAGAGAAUUGGAAAAAAGAAAACCAUCAGCAACAGAAAAGCCUGUGCAAGACAGAAACCUUUGGCAACGGCAUGAGACAAUCCUCUGCAAAGGCAGGUGUGAGUUGUUAGUCAGUCACUCCUAACACAAGUUGUUUUCUGUUUAUUUAUGUAGUCUUUCUGUUUAUUUCUUUCACUCCUGGCUGUUUUUUUCAGCGCUGUUUCAUUCUCAUGUAUUGGCAUAGGUUUGUUUAAUGGCUA